rnacentral:ribozyme from 1 species
ACCAAAGUGUCAUUUUUUGAAGGAUUCAAGAGAGAUGUUGUUACUGCGGUGUAGCUGGUUUCUUGCUUUGCUGUUCAUGACACAG